AGCGUAGCGAUACGUUGAGCUAACCCAUACUAAUUACCCGUGAGGCUUAACCAUACAACACCCAAGAAGUGUUCUG
rnacentral:rRNA from 1 species